GAUGAAGAACGUAGCGAAACGCGAUAUGUAAUGUGAAUUGCAGAAUUCAGUGAAUCAUCGAAUCUUUGAACGCACAUGGCGCCUUCCAGUAUCCUGGGAGGCAUGCCUGACCGAGCGUCGUUUCAACCCUCGAGCCCCCGUGGCCCGGCGUUGGGGAUCUGCCACGGCAGGCCCCUAAAACCAGUGGCGGACCCGAAGGCCCUCUCCUUUGCGCAGUAGCAUCAGCCUCGCAUUGGGAUCCCUCGGCGUCCUGCCUCUAAACCCCCCACAAGUCCGCUCCGGCGGCACCAAGGUUGACCUCGGAUCAGGUAGGAAUACCCGCUGAACUUAAGCAUAUCAAUAAGCGGAGGA
rnacentral:misc_RNA from 1 species